rnacentral:rRNA from 1 species
UGCGUAGGCGGUUGAUUAAGUCGGAUGUGAAAGCCCUGGGCUUAACCUGGGAACUGCAUUCGAUACUGUUCGACUAGAGUACGAGAGAGGGAGGUAGAAUUCCACGUGUAGCGGUGAAAUGCGUAGAUAUGUGGAGGAAUAUCGGUGGCGAAGGCGGCCUCCUGGCUCGAUACUGACGCUGAGGUGCGAAAGCGUGGGGAGCAAACA